rnacentral:rRNA from 1 species
UACGUAGGGGGCAAGCGUUGUCCGGAAUCCUUGGGCGUAAAGAGCGUGUAGGCGGCCCGAUAAGUCCGCUGUGAAAGUCCAGGGCUCAACCCUGGAAUGCCAGUGGAAACUGUCGGGCUGGAGUCCGGAAGAGGCGAGUGGAAUUCCUGGUGUAGCGGUGAAAUGCGCAGAUAUCAGGAGGAACACCAAUGGCGAAGGCAGCUCGCUGGGACGGUACUGACGCUGAGACGCGAAAGCAUGGGGAGCGAACAGG